UACGGAGGGUGCAAACGUUGCUCGGAAUCAUUGGGCGUAAAGCGCACGUAGGCGGUCUGUUAAGUCGGAUGUGAAAGCCCCGGGCUCAACCCGGGAAGUGCACUCGAAACUGCAAGGCUAGAGUCUCGGAGAGGAUCGUGGAAUUCUCGGUGUAGAGGUGAAAUUCGUAGAUAUCGAGAGGAACACCGGUGGCGAAGGCGGCGAUCUGGACGAUGACUGACGCUGAGACGCGAAAGCGUGGGGAGCAAACAGG
rnacentral:rRNA from 1 species